CACGUAGGGGACGAGCGUUGUCCGGAUUCAUUGGGCGUAAAGCGCGCGUAGGCGGCUCGGAAAGUCGGUCGUGAAAUGCCGGGGCUCAACCCCGGGACUGCGUCCGAUACUCCCGAGCUGGAGGCAGGUAGGGGAGAUCGGAAUUCCUGGUGUAGCGGUGAAAUGCGCAGAUAUCAGGAGGAACACCGAUGGCGAAGGCAGCUCGCUGGGACGGUACUGACGCUGGAGGCGCGGAAAGCGUGGGGAGCAAACAGG
rnacentral:rRNA from 1 species